rnacentral:pre_miRNA from 1 species
CAUUGUCGCCAAUGGCGAUGAGGUCAGUGGUGCCAAUGGUGGUGCCAAUGGUGGUCCCAAUCGCCAUUGGCGCCAAUGGAACACAACCAUUGGCGCCAAUGGAGAUUUGGACCACCAUUGGCACCACUGACCUCAUCGCCGUUGGCU